rnacentral:misc_RNA from 1 species
GAUUGAAGAACGUAGCGAAAUGCGAUAAGUAAUGUGAAUUGCAGAAUUCAGUGAAUCAUCGAAUCUUUGAACGCACCUUGCGCCCUUUGGCUAUUCCGAAGGGCAUGCCUGUUUGAGUAUCAUGAACACCUCAACUCUCAUGGCUUGCCAUGAUGAGCUUGGACUUUUGGGGGUCUUGCUGGCCUGUGGUCAGCUCCUCUCAAAUGAAUUAGCCUGCCAGUGUUUGGUGGCAUCACAGGUGUGAUAACUAUCUACGCUUGUGGUUUUCCACCAGGUAACCUUCAGUGAUGAAGGUUCGCUGGGGCUCAUAAACGUCUCUCCUCAGUGAGGACAGCUCUUUGAACGUUUGAUCUCAAAUCAGGUAGGACUACCCGCUGAACUUAAGCAUAUCAAUAAGCGGAGGA